rnacentral:rRNA from 1 species
GUGGGGAAUAUUGGACAAUGGGGGAAACCCUGAUCCAGCCAUGCCGCGUGAAUGAUGAAGGCCUUCGGGUUGUAAAGUUCUUUUGGAGGGGACGAUGAUGACGGUACCCUCAGAAUAAGCUCCGGCUAACUUCGUGCCAGCAGCCGCGGUAAUACGAAGGGAGCUAGCGUUGUUCGGAAUUACUGGGCGUAAAGGGCGCGUAGGCGGUUUGGUCAGUCAGAUGUGAAAGCCCAGGGCUUAACCCUGGAACUGCGUUUGAUACUGCCAAGCUUGAAUUCGGGAGAGGUGAGUGGAAUUCCCAGUGUAGAGGUGAAAUUCGUAGAUAUUCGGAAGAACACCAGUGGCGAAGGCGCCUCACUGGCUCAUUACUGACGCUGAGGCUCGAAAGCGUGGGGAGCAAACAGGAUUAGAUACCCGUGUAGUCC